CCUACGGGGUGCAGCAGUGGGGAAUAUUGCACAAUGGGGGAAACCCUGAUGCAGCGACGCCGCGUGAGUGAAGAAGUAAUUCGUUAUGUAAAGCUCUAUCAGCAGGGAAGAAAAUGACGGUACCUGAGUAAGAAGCCCCGGCUAACUACGUGCCAGCAGCCGCGGUAAUACGUAGGGGGCAAGCGUUAUCCGGAUUUACUGGGUGGAAAGGGAGCGUAGACGGCAGUGCAAGUCUGGAGUGAAAGGCGGGGGCUCAACCCCCGGACUGCUCUGGAAACUGUACGGCUGGAGUGCAGGAGAGGUAAGUGGAAUUCCUAGUGUAGCGGUGAAAUGCGUAGAUAUUAGGAGGAACACCAGUGGCGAAGGCGGCUUACUGGACUGUAACUGACGUUGAGGCUCGAAAGCGUGGGGAGCAAACAGGAUUAGAUACCCCUGUAGUC
rnacentral:rRNA from 1 species